UACGUAGGCAGCAAGCGUUGUUCGGAAUUACUGGGCGUAAAGAGUGUGUAGGCGGUGCUCCAAGUCUGGUGUGAAAUCUCCCGACUUAACUGGGAGGGUGCAUUAGAAACUGGAAUGCUAGAGGAUGGGAGAGGUAAGCGGAAUUCCUGGUGUAGCGGUGAAAUGCGUAGAUAUCAGGAGGAACACCUGUGGUGUAGACAGCUUACUGGACCAUUUCUGACGCUGAGACACGAAAGCGUGGGUAGCAAACAGG
rnacentral:rRNA from 1 species